GCAGUGCCUGUGGGGACGUGGCGGUGUUUGCUCGGCUCCUGCCCGUGCGGAGACGCGCGGCUCUGCACCGCGGUGCGCGGGCUGCGGCAACCACGCAUCGGCCCGGGCUGCGCAGGGGACCUCCGUCCCUCUGUAAGGGAACCCGGGCAAGUCACAGUCCCCGCAGCCGCAGUUUAAGCAGCGCUCGGAGCUGUCUCGGAAGGGGUUUCCUACCACCUCGUUGCUACCCGCGGGAUUCGGGCCCGUGCCGGAAACACAACAUGCUUUGACAGAAUUCAGAGGACUUCGGAAGACUUUGUCUGGAAACAAAAACUUCUGGAUUUGAAAUAUGUUGCUGUAGUCCUCCUCUGACAUUACAGCCUGGAUGCCUGCUGGCCCUGCUCUGCAAGGCUGAGGCUGCCUUCCUCCUUUGACAUUUUGCCAUGAUCUUUCCUCCCUGAGGGGAGUGCUGUAAGUGGGGAAUCCCUCAAAAUGAUCUGUCCUCAGAAUUCUCAUUUAAAUGGUCUGUGGCUUUAUCUCCUCUCAUGGUAUUCACAUCAGCAGCAAGUAAUGUUAGAAGAAUAAAGUCUCUCAGGCUUUAUAUUAAGGAUUCAAUUAUUCUGUAUAAUUAGCCCUGAUUUGUUAAAUAUUUGAAACAUUUUCUACUCUUAGGUAUGAAACAGUGUACUGGAGUGAUCAAAACCAUAAAUAACUUGUACCUUUACUCAGAAAAUGCUUUUUUAUCAAAUAAUAAUGAAGAUUAAGUCUAAGUCUCUCUCUUUUUCUGUUUGGAUUUUAUUCCUACAAGAAAUAUCACUUUUGUCCACAGUCUCUUGUGUAUUUCUCUUCCCUUGGAAUACAAAGAGGCAAUGGAUUCUGGUAUAAAUUAGGUAGAUUUAAUGAAAUUUUUGAAUUGUAACUUGUGCCUUGAAUAUAAAAUAUUUGAGUGAGGAAUAAGGUAUUUUGCUGAUUCCAUUAUUGUCACCUGUCUGGUUUUUUUCAUUCUUCUGUGCCUGUUUUUUGAAACGCUUGGGAAUAACAGUUUCUAUAUGCCAUAUGUAGCAAAUCUUUCCAAGGUCAUCUUUUUGUGUCUUCUUUUAAAGAAGCAAGGCGGACAUACUCUGCAAAAUGAGGAAAUGGUAUUACUUCCCUACUCAGAAGCUAGCUGUUACCUCAUAUACAUGCUACUUUCCCAUUUAAUUAGAAAGAGAUUUCUCCUCUGGUGUCAGACAGCAUCAAAAUGUUGCUGCUCAGUGUCACUGGUAAGGAUUAAAGGUUUAGGGGAAGUUACCUCCCUCUGCCUACUCCAGUAAAGUUUUUCCUGUUGAAACACAGAUUCAGUCAUGAGGGACAAUUGAUCUGGAAGGGUCUUAAACCAAAGUCACUGAAAUAUUAUUUGGAGAGGUAGCAGAUUAAUUGUGGUCUUCCAUUUGUUAUAAAUUAUGACUGGGAUGGGCAUUAUAAUAGAAAUUAUAAGCAUUCCUUAAUAAGUAAAGAUUGAUUAAAAUCUUUAACAUUUUUGUAAUAACAGAAUAUCCAUCUCUGUAUCUCUUUUUACAUAGACACAUGUAUGUUUUUACUUAUAGUGUUACUCUUAUAGACAGUGUAGUGUAAGGUAAAUUAAACAACUCUAUUGCUAUUUUGAGAACUUCUCUUUUUCUUAAUAUAGUGUGAAUCUAAUCUGGUGUACCUGGCUUGUUGUGCAAGACUCCAGUCUGCAAGAGUCCCAGAGCAAAAAAAGAUUAUAGCUGUUAACUAAAUGUAUACCAGUGUAAUUAAAGUGCAUUAUCUUUAAAUAAACCCUUCUGCAUCUG